rfam:Caenorhabditis brenneri strain PB2801 C_brenneri-6.0.1_Cont135.13, whole genome shotgun sequence.
GGGGGUAUAGCUCAGAGGUAGAGCGCUCCCUUCGCAUGGGAGAAGUCUGGGGUUCGAUCCCCCAUUCCUCCA